GGAUGAAAAUGGACAGCGGCAACAUGUGUGGCAGACAUCAUGGGCUAUUAGUACGCGAUUUGUUGGAGGUAUUAUCAUGACUCAUGGGGAUGAUACUGGCUUAAUGCUUCCACCUAAGCUGGCACCUGUACAGGUGUGGGCACUGUAAGAAGCCUGCUCCAGAGUACGAGAAGCUAAGUGCGAGUUUCAAGAAAGCUAAAUCUAUUUUGAUUGGAAAGGUGGACUGCAAUGAGCAUAAGAGCCUUUGUAGCAAAUAUGGUGUUUCUGGUUGCCCGACCGUCCAAUGGCUUCCAAAAGGUUCUUUGGAGCCCAAAAAAUAUGAAGGUGCACGAUCUGCAGAAGCCUUGCUAAGUUUGUGAACAGUGGAGAAGGUAAUGUUAUUGGCUAGCUGGCUUGUAUUUUGUGGUCCAUAAGUGUAAUCCAUGUUAACAAGUUUGGUAGAUUUACAUUAAACCAUAUUUGGGUAAAAGUGUUGAAUAAUCCACGAGGUUGUUAAAAUCCAAUCCAUACCACUAUUUCUUUAAUUCUUUCUUCUAUUUCGAUUUUUCCCUUACCAAAAGGUCUAUCUACAAUGGAUUAUUUCCGGUUAUGAUAGCACUGAAGGCUACGAUUAAGAGACAGGUUAGUUUUUGAUUUGCUUCUUAUGUGGUUUUAAUUCUUUUUUCUGUUACUAACCCUGAAUUGCUACCAGUGAUGACAAAGAAACUGUUCAGCGUAAUUUUAACGGUGGCCAAAGUAGCCAGCUUAAGAAGUUGUAUGAAUUCAGCCUUAUUCUUUUAACUCCGAUUAAAUAUCAGCACCUUGGCCAUGUGAUUUUCUUGUUUUAUUCUUUAUUGUUUGUUUCACGGGAUAGGUACCCCUCGAUUACCUUGAAGCUGGUGCUAAUAUCGUAAUAUCUGCAUCAUAUCAGGUUAUAUGGCUGUCUUUUUAAAUUUUUCCAUUUUUUGGGCCUUCCUAAAGAUAUCGUUUAAUUAUUAUUGAAAGAAUUUAUCAUGAAGUUGAAGCUUUUGAUUUGUCUUGUUUGUCAUUGCUAUAAAAU